GCUUAUUUCAUCAAUCACUCCAUUGAGUCUUCCUUUCUGAAUGACAUGUCACAAUGGAAACAGUGGCAUUAAUUUAGGAGCAUAUAUAAGAGGAAGUGUGAAAAGAGAACCAUAGUUGGUACAUUGCACUGAAACAUACUAUGGUUGGUUUGGAUUUAGUAUGAUUCUGAGUGUAUAUGUGUGCAAGAGACACUCCCUAGACUUUAUCAAAAGUAUGAAUCAAAAUGGAAACAGCAACCAUUGAGCUGUAACAAGAGUAACUCCAUACACUUAGAAUUAGGUUAUGAGUUAAGUAGAAAAUCACAAGGGAAAAUCAUUGUAAUAAUUUAAAACUACUGUUGUGGUUAUAUGAAAAUGAUUUUGAAUUCCAAUUAAAUACAAGCACAGGGAUUAAACAACUAUCAUUAAUUAUAGAAAUGACAUAAUCCAAACUAGUCAAUAUUGUAAUUUCUUGGAUAUCAUGUAUGCUAGUAUUGGUUUUUAUUACAUUUAAAUCCCGGUGUUACAGUUCAAUUUAACAUAUUACCUUAAUGAAAGCAUAAUUGCUAUCUAUAUAUGAUGUUGUCCAUUUAAUGCUUUUUUUUUCAACAGGAUUUAAGCAUUACCUAUUAAUAUAUUCCCAUCUCAAAAAUACUAUUUAAUUUUAUCUAUGUGAAUAUCUUUCCUCUCUAAAAAGGGAAAUAAAGUCCACUUAUUUUUUUCUCAUCAUAUUAAAUGAACAUAUGAAUGGUUUCUGCCUUGAAUUUCAUUUUAUUUAUUUUUCACAUUUCUGAGCCACCUAUGACCCUCAGAGAAAUACUCUAUGUACAAUAAAAUCAUGUGAUUAUAACAAACAACAUAAUGGUAGCAACUAUAUAACUGUGAUAUCAAUAAAAGGACAAUAUUUAACAUAUUUUAUAAGUUAAUUGGAUUAUAUUUAUUUUAUGAUGCCACACAACACUUUCUGUGUUUAGUAACUGAACAAAGAAAGCAUAUUAAUCUGAAAAAUGGAACAGCAUGCCAAAAUUGACUCAGAACAGAAACCUGUGGAUUUCACAGUGGGAAACUGGAUCAGUAAAUUAAGAACUCACAAUGCUGCCAUUCUGGUUUCCAUUCACUAAAGCCAGCAUUCCCAACAAUAUACCUUAUGUAUUACUUGUCACCAUGUCUUAUUUUUAAAAUCCUGGCUAUCUUACAAGUGUUCAAAAGCAGGAUUCUAGCACAGAUCUUCCAUAACAAUACUUAGCUGAAGGUUUUCUUUUACUUUUUGACAGUAUGGUUUUUAAAUAUACAUUACAUUUUAACAUUUCAACUUUCUUCUGCAUAGAAUCUUGGAGAGAAUCUUGGAAGCAUUUCUAUAUAGGACAGGUUUACAAAAGAAUCUAAUAUGGUUGCAGUUUUCUGUAAAUGAUUAUAAGCAUGAACGACAAGCACCUUCCAUGCCAGAUUACUGGGAACAGAAAACAUUUCCUAUGGAAAGUAUAUAGAACGGCUGCAUAUUAUUCAUUUCUGAAUACUGUAAUUCUUCUGAUUUGUGGUGUGAAUAGGAAAACAAAGGGCUUUAAUGGAGCUGUUUAUAUUAAAUGCAGGACACACACAAUUCUGGAAAUCAUAACUUUCCUUCCUAAAAUCAGUUUACUGUACUUAUAGCUAUGAGAGCUUGUUACCAACUAAGUGACACGUGGAAAAGUAAAUUCAGGUUGCAUUAUUCAUAUUAUCAAAAUAUUGAAAUCUCUUUACAUUUUGUGGAAUUUACUGUAGUACCUGACAAUAUGACACAAUCAUAUGAAAAU